AGCGAACGCUGGCGGCAGGCUUAACACAUGCAAGUCGAGCGGGCACUUUCGGGUGUCAGCGGCGGACGGGUGAGUAACGCGUGGGAACGUGCCUUCUGGUUCGGAAUAACUCAGGGAAACUUGAGCUAAUACCGGAUACGCCCUUUUGGGGAAAGGUUUACUGCCGGAAGAUCGGCCCGCGUCUGAUUAGCUAGUUGGUGGGGUAACGGCCUACCAAGGCGACGAUCAGUAGCUGGGCUGAGAGGAUGAUCAGCCACACUGGGACUGAGACACGGCCCAGACUCCUACGGGAGGCAGCAGUGGGGAAUAUUGGACAAUGGGCGCAAGCCUGAUCCAGCCAUGCCGCGUGAGUGAUGAAGGCCUUAGGGUUGUAAAGCUCUUUUAUCCGGGACGAUAAUGACGGUACCGGAGGAAUAAGCCCCGGCUAACUUCGUGCCAGCCGCCGCAGUAACAC
rnacentral:rRNA from 1 species